UGUUUGCCAUUGUUGGAGAAGAAGCUGGUCACAUUGGGUACCGUCUGUGCUGGAUCCCUCCUCUCUGAGGACUUGAACCUUCCUUACAUUGAUGAGUUGCCAGUUAGUGCUGAUUCUAAUGACUCUGAGAAAGCUGAUAUGAGGAUAGUCUGCAGCUGCUCAAGAAGUAUUAAAUGAUCAUUCCCAGUCAUUUAGUUGUGAUUUGUAUGCUAAAGCCUCAUCAGUUCAGUCUGCCCUGAGAUGGUAAUAUUCCACUCAUCACUAUCCUGAACAAUUUCAUUAAAAGCAACCCUGUGACAUAAAAAAGAAGGACUAUCAAGUCAAAGCAGUGUGGAAGGGUAACUAAUAAGACUGGUUCAGAGCCUCCAUCAAGUACUAGUAGCAUAAGAGUUGGUGUAGAUAAGAUAACUGAUGUAUGUAAACCGACUUACAAGAGACCAUUCAGUUCGACAACAUUAGGAACUAGCAAUGUAUACCAGUCUAUAUUGGUG